GCUGAUGCUUUCAUUAACAGACUCUGGUUGGGAGUUCCCUUCAUUUGUCUGAAACACAAAUGAAAUGUCAAUGAAGGUGCAUGCAUUUCUUUCCAUCGGCUGCUAUUAAACUUGAUUCUGCCUGACUCCCUUGUAGUGUUAUGCCUAUUUUGAAGUGAUGUACGUACUCUGCCACUUUCUGGAAGUAUCCCACAGGUGGAAUUACUUGGCCUCCACAGCUCUGCAUGGAUUCAGCUAUGAAGGCAGCAAUCUACAAAAAACAAACUCGGAUAUUUACCUCCUCUUGGUACAAAUGAGACCACUUCAGGGAGCAGCCAGCAGCUGAGAGAACAACGCAACUGCGAAACCCCAGCCUUCCCCCAGCGGCGUUUCCCACCCUCCGCGCAGGCUGGAGUCGCCUCAGCGCUUGCACCGUCAGGAAGCAGCGGGCACAAACUUGCUCCCAGUACUAACAACCAGAUUUUAAACCUGACUCACAGCAGCCCCUCUCUUCUCAGGUUCCUACAGGCUACCUGCUUUGGCAAAUCACCACCCAUGAGGACUUGCUGCUUACCUGGGAUGUCUCACAUUUCCUACAGACACUCUGAGCUGGUUUGCAACAGAAAGAGAAGAUACUGUGGUGGUUUAGCAUUCAGGGAUUGGCUAUGGAGCGCUUAAUUCCCCAGAGCCCUGCCAAGACGUCUUGGACCCGUCCCUGCUUCCAAGUGAAACAGUUGGUGGAGCGCCUCGGCUUUCCCUUCCCUCUGCCAUGCGUGUGCCCACUCGUCCGUCUGGAAGCUGGUCCCUGAGCCGCGAGAGCAGACGACAGCAGCAAAACCUGCGCCCUGUGUCCCUGCUACCGCAUCUGUGCCGGGCUGCGCCACCUGCAGCUCUGUAUUUGGAAGACUUUUCGGAGAGAGGUAUUUAAAUUAGGUGAUUUCAAGUGUUGAUGAUACUGCCUUUUCUAGAUUGGUAGCCAGUAAGUCAUCCUCCUUUUUUGCAGGUGAGGAAGCACAGUUCUUGCUUUUUAUAUAUAUUUUAUAUCUCCGCCAGAAAAAACACCUUUCCUUCUGCUUCUCUAGCCUGUAGCACCAGCGUUUCUUUUUCUAUAGACAUGUUCUUGAGCCUUCUGUAAAAGUAAUGUAAAGAAGAACUAGAGCCCAGACAUCAUUUCCCUGGUAAAUCACUGCAUGCAAGUCUGUGAAUGAAUCUGAAGGCAUUUAAGGACAAAUGAUUUUUCUUCCACUUUGUGCAUGUCUGCCCUCUGUUGGUAAAGAGCACAUGCUCAUUCCCUGCCCAGUGACUGUUGGCAAUAUUAAUGCUGAAAGAUUUAUGCUCUCUUGCCAAUUCUUGUUCUCUCAGAAACCCAGGCCACAGACUGAUGUAAAAGACGUGUAAGCUACAGUGCUUUUACUCCUUUUGCCAGGCAGCACAAGGGUGUAUCAGUAGCCGACCCUGCUUAUAUCAGGGUUUUCUGUUCCAGGAUUUAGCAAAUGAAAGCUCGUUCACAGUUAUGCUCGCAAGUGCUUGAAGAGAUCCCACACUUCAUCAGGAAAGCUCAGACUGGUGUGUGAAAUAGCUUGUUAGGAAAUGGAUUGCUUCUCUGACCCUUCAGAGCCAUGGAAAGAUACUAACCACCAAGAGGAUAUCCCUGCCUUUUGACUCAGAUUUGUGCACACUCUUUUGAUGUAAUCAGCAGGAAGAGCUUGCCACGUUAGUGUACAGAGCAGAUGAGGUCUCUUUCCCCUGACAGCUGAGAAAAUGUAGCUGCCUGAUACACAGGCUUUACAGCACUUUUUCGCUUUUCUUUUUUUUUUUUUUUUGUUAGACCUUUCCCUCUCCUCACAUGCCCACAUAACACCAUGGAUACUAGCAGCUAUUUCUCAGGAUAUAGAGAAUUAUUAAAAUGGUUUUUUUUUUAAUUAAGCAUACUCUUUUCUCCAUUCUACUCUGUUUGCUUUUUGAACUUUUUUUUUUCUUUCUCCUUGAGUGCUUGGUCCUAGCAGGGUACCAGCAACCAGCAGUCUGGCUCCCUAUAUGGCUGAUGAAAAGAGCUAAACGUUCCUAAGAGCAAGUCAAAGUAUUCAAGUAAGGUGCGUUCCUCUCCUUAUUUAAUGUUCAAGGAGUUAGUGUACCUCUGAAACAUAAUGUAUUGCCGUUGCGUCCUGACAAGCGAACCCUUUACAGCUGGUGAAUGGAAAAUGCUCUACUGCUAAGAUCUGUUUCAGUACACAAAGCUCUGAGGGCAGUGCAUGUCCUGUGCCAGGCCUGCAGGAAUUGGAUUCCAGCGCUGUAUUUGUGCUUCUGGUGGGCCCUUCGGUGGCUCUGGACGGAGCUGCAGCAGUAUCUAGACCCUUUCCUCCCUCUCUGCAAGGAGAACUGAGGAAGCUGGAACAGAAAAGGCCAAGAGUUAUGGCAGCAAAAGGAAGCGAAGAGCCUUGCGCAGCUGAGCCCCGGUCAAUGGAAUGACUCUCUCUAAACUCAGGUAGGACCCAGGAUUCAAACCUCAUCUCCUGCCCCAGUGCUCAGCCUUGAACAGCACCGCCUUCCCGCCAGCACCGAAGGGCUACGUGGGCCAUUGGGGCUGCGUCAGCUCUUCCACUGGCGUAACUGAGUAACCAAUGCUAGUACACAUACUCUUCUGCUACUGUAAAGCUUAAGGGGUCCAAUGCUAACUUUCCACACUGUACAUGAAUUGUCAGGAUAAUCCCUUUUUAAACUUUAUGCUUUAUAUGGAUGCAGAUAUCCUGAUGUGAUCUUUCUGAAACUUGUUCAUAAUACUUGCACGGUAGACAAAAAGAAUAUAAAAACAGCUGGAUGAAGAGCAUCAUUCUGCCUUGCUACAAUAUCAGAAAGUGACAUCAAAAUCAGCAAUAAAUAAAAAUAUAAAUCAAAAAAUACAUUAUAUUAUUGUUCCAUGAAUUAACAUUUCAUGCUUUACCUCAGGAAAAAACAAUGGUGUCCAAAGCAUCCUGAAAGAAAGAUUCCCCAUAGCUAAUCUAUGAAUAUGAAGACAAACACUACGUGCUUUAGAUGUAUUCCAAACAGUGCUUAAUAGACUUACUGCUUCUGUAGCAGAACUUCUGCACAAAUGUGAUUAUAAUACAUUUGAGUAACAGAUGUUUACAAAACUUGGUAUCAAACAAAUACUGAAAGCUCUCAAAAGAACAAGAAUUAAUCAUACCCAAAAAAGUCAGGGAUAUAGAAACUGUAGACUAAUAUCACUGACGCAUUUCUACAACUAAAAAGACUGGCAGAGGAACUACAUUUCAGUGAGCUCACAAACUAAGCAAAGCAACUCAUAUCUAGUUGGAGGAAUGCUACUAAAAGAUAUAACAACACACAGGUGGUUCAAACUGUAGCUUUGCCAUCAAAGAAAAAAGAUAAACUAGCACCAAAAAUAAUUGCUUUUAAAAAAAUAAACAUGUUGCAAGUCUUCACAGGGUGCUUUUCUUAAUGAAAUAUUAAACCCAACUUACUUUUUGUAUACUGUGUAUGCAGCUUUUCUAGGUACUAUUGGGUUUCACUUCAAGUAAAUCUUUGUGAUGCAAAUAUUUUAUGCAACUGUUAAUGUCAAAUCUAUGUAUUCAGUUUAACCUGUCAGAUUACAUUGUGUAUCUGCUGUUCACCCAUUAUAACUUAAAUGGAAUGAACCUUUCAUGAUGCUAAACAAUAUGGAGGCUUUAGGAAGCUAAGAUAAAUUAAAGUAAUUGAGAUAAACAACAUUCCUAUCUGGAGGCAGUCAAACAAAGAAAUUACUUUGCAAGACAGGAAAAAUGAAUAAAUGCAUUUAAGUGUUUCUUCUGUCAGGCCUUGGUGUCAGUGAGUUAAAGGAGAACUAAGUUUUGACUGAUGUUUUGAAGUCAAAAUAAUAUAUUUAACAGUAAUGAUUCUAAAUCUUAUUUUUUGAAUGAAGAAACCAUGAACCAAAGUUCUGCUAGUUUUAUUGAUGCUUUUUAUAGUUCUUUAUCUUGAUGCUGUUUCUUAAAAGGAGUUGUGUUUGUGGACCUUCUCAAUAUAAGAUUGCUAAAAUGACUAGCCAAAUAGUAAACAUCCCACUUGUAUUUGAAUACUCCAAGGGAUGUAUUUUUUUAAAAACUUAUCUUACUGUGUCAUUGCCAGUAUUUGAUAAUGCACAAAAACAUGCAACUUCUGGUCUUCACAUCUAUAAUCUGUCAAGUCAGAACAUAGGUAUAAGAAACUCCUUUAGGUUAGGGGUGGUACCCUGCUCCUCAGCCUGUUUGUUUGUUUUUGUUUCUGUUUUUGAGAUGGUUCCUCUUAACCCGGCAUAAUAAUAAAACUGGGGAGUAGAAGGGCUUACAUGAUGCUCCUCUUGUCCCCGUUCUGGAAAAAUCUUUUAUUGAUGUUAGUGCUGUACCACACUGAUUAAUAAAACUUUAUAUUAAAUUA